AGCAGGCUAAUGUUUAGCUCUUUGCAUCUCAGAGCCAAGACGGCCGAAUGCAUAGAUGGCUGACAUCUUCAGCUGUGCAUUCUCGUCCAAGCUAGAACGGCAUUGUUAAUUCUUUUGCAGUUUCUUGGUACGGAUGAGAGAAUAUAUUUGUACUACAGGAGUUAUUCUCGCCAAAUUUAUGGCGGUGAUCCGACGUGCAUCUACAUCAGGAACAUCAAGUUCUUUAACGCGACAUAUAUUGGUUAUGCUGAGGGUUAUCGUAAGUAUAGUGGGAGCUAUGUGUUGUACUCGGUAUAUGCACGGCUCUCAAGGAAUGACUCUGCGGAUAGUGCACCCGUGAUUAGAGCAACGACACAAAGCAAACUGAAGCGGAAAUACCAAUUAGAGUACUACGAUGCUGAUGCUAAGUGUGCUGUUAUUACCUUCAGCGAUGGAAAAUGCAAAAGAAAGUGUGAACUUCACAUAUGGAAAGAAUCCGUGAACAGAGGACCUUCAGUAAACUGUGAAAGAGAGUACGAAGACUCUUGUCCUGGGCGGAAGAUAUACAAAGUAUAUAACACUGGCUGCUUUUAGCAUUAA